AGCCUCGUCGCUUUUCGUGCGCUUAUAAUACCCAGUUUUUGUGUAGAUUUCUGUGUACAAGCUUGAUUUCCUUGCUACCUAUCCGUGUUACCUCUGUGAUUGUGGGUGGUUGUUGUGUGCAAUUCGAUCGGGAGUUGCUAAUUGUUGUUCACCUGUAAAACCUGUAAGUUGGAUGAAAUCAAAUUGUUACCAUGAGCGGUUCGAAUGUGGGAGCUGCUAGCUGUGGAGCACACCCUAAAAUGAAACAAUCAUCGAAAUUAAACACAAGCACACCUUACCUCAGCGUCGGCAUCGUGCGUGAAGGCUAGAAAUUUCAUCCGGUUUUAUUCCAUGCUCCAAGCAUUUUUUUUCGCUUCCACCACAACUAAAUCAUACUUCCGUGGUUGAUUUUAUGUUUAUUCUACAAAACAAAACGUUUUUAAUGAUAAAUAUCAUAUAAUUUGCAUAAAAUACUUACAAAAUCA